rnacentral:rRNA from 1 species
CCUACGGGGGGCAGCAGUAAGGGAUAUUGCACAAUGGGCGCAAGCCUGAUGCAGCAACGCCGCGUGCAUGAUGAAGGCCUUCGGGUCGUAAAAUGCUUUUCUGGCUGAAGAGGAAGGACAGUAAGCCAGGAAUAAGUGUCGGCUAACUACGUGCCAGCAGCCGCGGUAAAACGUAGGACGCAAGCGUUAUCCGGAGUUACUGGGCGUAAAGCGCGGGCAGGCGGUCGCUCAAGUCUGAUGUGAAAUCGCCCGGCUUAACCGGGCGCAGCCAUUGGAAACUAGGCGACUGGAGUCUGGCAGAGGUAGGCGGAAUUCCGGGUGGAGUGGUGAAAUGCGUAGAGAUCCGGAGGAACACCAGAGGCGAAGGCGGCCUACUGGGCCAGUACUGACGCUGAGCCGCGAAAGCCAGGGGAGCGAACGGGAUUAGAUACCCUGGUAGU